rnacentral:rRNA from 1 species
GACGAACGCUGGCGGCGUGCUUAACACAUGCAAGUCGAACGGAAAGGCCCUGCUUUUGUGGGGUGCUCGAGUGGCGAACGGGUGAGUAACACGUGAGUAACCUGCCCUUGACUUUGGGAUAACUUCAGGAAACUGGGGCUAAUACCGGAUAGGAGCUCCUGCUGCAUGGUGGGGGUUGGAAAGUUUCGGCGGUUGGGGAUGGACUCGCGGCUUAUCAGCUUGUUGGUGGGGUAGUGGCUUACCAAGGCUUUGACGGGUAGCCGGCCUGAGAGGGUGACCGGCCACAUGGGGACUGAGAUACGGCCCAGACUCCUACGGGAGGCAGCAGUGGGGAAUAUUGCACAAUGGGCGGAAGCCUGAUGCAGCAACGCCGCGUGCGGGAUGACGGCCUUCGGGUUGUAAACCGCUUUCGCCUGUGACGAAGCGUGAGUGACGGGAAUGGGGAAAGAAGCACCGGCGAACUACGG